UGGGGAAUAUUGGACAAUGGGCGCAAGCCUGAUCCAGCCAUGCCGCGUGUGUGAAGAAGGCCUUCGGGUUGUAAAGCACUUUUGUUGGGGAAGAAAAGCACUCAAUUAAUACCUGGGUGUUCUGACGGUACCCAAAGAAUAAGCACCGGCUAACUUCGUGCCAGCAGCCGCGGUAAUACGAAGGGUGCAAGCGUUACUCGGAAUUACUGGGCGUAAAGCGUGCGUAGGUGGUGAGUUAAGUCUGUCGUGAAAGCCCCGGGCUCAACCUGGGAAUGGCGAUGGAUACUGGCUCGCUAGAGUGCGGUAGAGGAGAGUGGAAUUCCCGGUGUAGCAGUGAAAUGCGUAGAGAUCGGGAGGAACAUCAGUUGCGAAGGCGGCUCUCUGGACCAGCACUGACACUGAGGCACGAAAGCGUGGGGAGCAAACA
rnacentral:rRNA from 1 species